rnacentral:pre_miRNA from 1 species
UAACUUGAGGCCUGAUCCAAAGCCCCUUGAAAUCAGGGGGAAUCUUUCCGUUGAUUUCAAUGGGAUUUGGAUCAGAUCCUUGUCUG